rnacentral:rRNA from 1 species
CCUACGGGAGGCAGCAGUGAGGAAUAUUGGUCAAUGGGCGCGAGCCUGAAUCAGCCAAGUCGCGUGAGGGAAGACGGCCCUACGGGUUGUAAACCUCUUUUGCCGGGGAGCAACGGGCGCCACGUGUGGCGCCACUGAGAGUACCCGGAGAAAAAGCAUCGGCUAACUCCGUGCCAGCAGCCGCGGUAAUACGGAGGAUGCGAGCGUUAUCCGGAUUUAUUGGGUUUAAAGGGUGGGUAGGGGGGGCGUUUAGUUACGGGUGCAAUUUAGGGGGCCAAACCCUUCCCGGCCUUUGAAAUGGGCGCACGUGAGUGGAAGAGAAGUAUGCGGAAUGCGUGGUGUAGCGGUGAAAUGCAUAGAUAUCACGCAGAACCCCGAUUGCGAAGGCAGCAUGCCGGCUUCCGACUGACGCUGAAGCACGAAAGCGUGGGGAUCGAACAGGAUUAGAUACCCUGGUAGUC